CCCGCCCUCCACCGGAAAAGAUGGAGGCUGGACUCAGAAGCUAGAGCUGGUCCUGUUCAUUCUACAAAUACAUGCUAAGUGGCUACUGUGUGCCGGGCUCUGAUCUGAGUGCUGAGGACACAGUUGAGGUGUGUCACAGAGCUUACCUUCUAAUGAGAGAGGAAAGACAAUAAACAGUGCCAACACCCAAGAAAAUGAGAUGCAAUGGAUUACAAUUGAAACUGUAACAAUGAGGACAAAAAGCAUUUUCAGAUCUCCAAGUUAAUUGUACAGCAGCUUCCUACACACAUAUGAUCAACCAUAUAAUGAUCCC